rnacentral:rRNA from 1 species
UACGAAGGGGGCUAGCGUUGUUCGGAUUCAUUGGGCGUAAAGGGUGCGUAGGCGGCGCGGUAAGUCGGGUGUGAAAUCUUGGAGCUUAACUCCGAAACUGCAUUCGAUACUGCCGUGCUUGAGGACUGGAGAGGAGACUGGAAUUUACGGUGUAGCGGUGAAAUGCGUAGAUAUCGUAAGGAAGACCAGUGGCGAAGGCGGGUCUCUGGACAGUUCCUGACGCUGAGGCACGAAGGCCAGGGGGAGCAAAACGGGG